UACGAAGGGGGCUAGCGUUGCUCGGAAUCACUGAGCGUAAAGCGCACGUAGGCGGCUUUUUAAGUCAGGGGUGAAAUCCUGGAGCUCAACUCCAGAACUGCCUUUGAUACUGAGAAGCUUGAGUCCGGGAGAGGUGAGUGGAACUGCGAGUGUAGAGGUGAAAUUCGUAGAUAUUCGCAAGAACACCAGUGGCGAAGGCGGCUCACUGGCCCGGUACUGACGCUGAGGUGCGAAAGCGUGGGGAGCAAACAGG
rnacentral:rRNA from 1 species